rnacentral:rRNA from 1 species
GACGAAGGGUCCUAGCGUUGUUCGGAAUCAUUGGGCGUAAAGCGUGUGUAGGUUGCCUUGUAAGUCAGGUGUGAAAGCCCUGGGCUCAACCCAGGAAGUGCAUCUGAUACUGCGAGGCUUGAGUACUGGAGAGGAUAGUAGAAUUCCUGGUGUAGUGGUGAAAUACGUAGAUAUCAGGAGGAAUUCCGGUGGCGAAGGCGGCUAUCUGGCCAUGUACUGACACUGAGACACGAAAGCGUGGGGAUCAAACAGG